rnacentral:rRNA from 1 species
GGUUAAGCGACUAAGCGUACACGGUGGAUGCCCUGGCAGUCAGAGGCGAUGAAGGACGUGCUAAUCUGCGAUAAGCGUCGGUAAGGUGAUAUGAACCGUUAUAACCGGCGAUUUCCGAAUGGGGAAACCCAGUGUGUUUCGACACACUAUCAUUAACUGAAUCCAUAGGUUAAUGAGGCGAACCGGGGGAACUGAAACAUCUAAGUACCCCGAGGAAAAGAAAUCAACCGAGAUUCCCCCAGUAGCGGCGAGCGAACGGGGAGCAGCCCAGAGCCUGAAUCAGUGUGUGUGUUAGUGGAAGCGUCUGGAAAGGCGCGCGAUACAGGGUGACAGCCCCGUACACAAAAAUGCACAUGCUGUGAGCUCGAUGAGUAGGGCGGGACACGUGGUAUCCUGUCUGAAUAUGGGGGGACCAUCCUCCAAGGCUAAAUACUCCUGACUGACCGAUAGUGAACCAGUACCGUGAGGGAAAGGCGAAAAGAACCCCGGCGAGGGGAGUGAAAAAGAACCUGAAACCGUGUACGUACAAGCAGUGGGAGCACGCUUAGGCGUGUGACUGCGUACCUUUUGUAUAAUGGGUCAGCGACUUAUAUUCUGUAGCAAGGUUAACCGAAUAGGGGAGCCGAAGGGAAACCGAGUCUUAACUGGGCGUUAAGUUGCAGGGUAUAGACCCGAAACCCGGUGAUCUAGCCAUGGGCAGGUUGAAGGUUGGGUAACACUAACUGGAGGACCGAACCGACUAAUGUUGAAAAAUUAGCGGAUGACUUGUGGCUGGGGGUGAAAGGCCAAUCAAACCGGGAGAUAGCUGGUUCUCCCCGAAAGCUAUUUAGGUAGCGCCUCGUGAAUUCAUCUCCGGGGGUAGAGCACUGUUUCGGCAAGGGGGUCAUCCCGACUUACCAACCCGAUGCAAACUGCGAAUACCGGAGAAUGUUAUCACGGGAGACACACGGCGGGUGCUAACGUCCGUCGUGAAGAGGGAAACAACCCAGACCGCCAGCUAAGGUCCCAAAGUCAUGGUUAAGUGGGAAACGAUGUGGGAAGGCCCAGACAGCCAGGAUGUUGGCUUAGAAGCAGCCAUCAUUUAAAGAAAGCGUAAUAGCUCACUGGUCGAGUCGGCCUGCGCGGAAGAUGUAACGGGGCUAAACCAUGCACCGAAGCUGCGGCAGCGACGCUGAUGCGUUGUUGGGUAGGGGAGCGUUCUGUAAGCCUGCGAAGGUGUGCUGUGAGGCAUGCUGGAGGUAUCAGAAGUGCGAAUGCUGACAUAAGUAACGAUAAAGCGGGUGAAAAGCCCGCUCGCCGGAAGACCAAGGGUUCCUGUCCAACGUUAAUCGGGGCAGGGUGAGUCGACCCCUAAGGCGAGGCCGAAAGGCGUAGUCGAUGGGAAACAGGUUAAUAUUCCUGUACUUGGUGUUACUGCGAAGGGGGGACGGAGAAGGCUAUGUUGGCCGGGCGACGGUUGUCCCGGUUUAAGCGUGUAGGCUGGUUUUCCAGGCAAAUCCGGAAAAUCAAGGCUGAGGCGUGAUGACGAGGCACUACGGUGCUGAAGCAACAAAUGCCCUGCUUCCAGGAAAAGCCUCUAAGCAUCAGGUAACAUCAAAUCGUACCCCAAACCGACACAGGUGGUCAGGUAGAGAAUACCAAGGCGCUUGAGAGAACUCGGGUGAAGGAACUAGGCAAAAUGGUGCCGUAACUUCGGGAGAAGGCACGCUGAUAUGUAGGUGAAGUCCCUCGCGGAUGGAGCUGAAAUCAGUCGAAGAUACCAGCUGGCUGCAACUGUUUAUUAAAAACACAGCACUGUGCAAACACGAAAGUGGACGUAUACGGUGUGACGCCUGCCCGGUGCCGGAAGGUUAAUUGAUGGGGUUAGCCGCAAGGCGAAGCUCUUGAUCGAAGCCCCGGUAAACGGCGGCCGUAACUAUAACGGUCCUAAGGUAGCGAAAUUCCUUGUCGGGUAAGUUCCGACCUGCACGAAUGGCGUAAUGAUGGCCAGGCUGUCUCCACCCGAGACUCAGUGAAAUUGAACUCGCUGUGAAGAUGCAGUGUACCCGCGGCAAGACGGAAAGACCCCGUGAACCUUUACUAUAGCUUGACACUGAACAUUGAGCCUUGAUGUGUAGGAUAGGUGGGAGGCUUUGAAGUGUGGACGCCAGUCUGCAUGGAGCCGACCUUGAAAUACCACCCUUUAAUGUUUGAUGUUCUAACGUUGACCCGUAAUCCGGGUUGCGGACAGUGUCUGGUGGGUAGUUUGACUGGGGCGGUCUCCUCCUAAAGAGUAACGGAGGAGCACGAAGGUUGGCUAAUCCUGGUCGGACAUCAGGAGGUUAGUGCAAUGGCAUAAGCCAGCUUGACUGCGAGCGUGACGGCGCGAGCAGGUGCGAAAGCAGGUCAUAGUGAUCCGGUGGUUCUGAAUGGAAGGGCCAUCGCUCAACGGAUAAAAGGUACUCCGGGGAUAACAGGCUGAUACCGCCCAAGAGUUCAUAUCGACGGCGGUGUUUGGCACCUCGAUGUCGGCUCAUCACAUCCUGGGGCUGAAGUAGGUCCCAAGGGUAUGGCUGUUCGCCAUUUAAAGUGGUACGCGAGCUGGGUUUAGAACGUCGUGAGACAGUUCGGUCCCUAUCUGCCGUGGGCGCUGGAGAACUGAGGGGGGCUGCUCCUAGUACGAGAGGACCGGAGUGGACGCAUCACUGGUGUUCGGGUUGUCAUGCCAAUGGCACUGCCCGGUAGCUAAAUGCGGAAGAGAUAAGUGCUGAAAGCAUCUAAGCACGAAACUUGCCCCGAGAUGAGUUCUCCCUGACCCUUUAAGGGUCCUGAAGGAACGUUGAAGACGACGACGUUGAUAGGCCGGGUGUGUAAGCGCAGCGAUGCGUUGAGCUAACCGGUACUAAUGAACCGUGAGGCUUAACCUU